AUUGAACGCUGGCGGCAGGCCUAACACAUGCAAGUCGAGCGAGCGGCGGACGGGUGAGUAAUGUCUGGGAAACUGCCUGCUGGAGGGGGAUAACUACUGGAAACGGUAUCUAAUACCGCAUACCAUCAGAUGUGCCCAGAUGGGAUUAGCUAGUAGGUGGGGUAAGGGCUCACCUAGGCGCCGAUCCCUAGCUGUUCUGAGAGGAUGACCAGCCACACUGGAACGGAGACACGGUCCAGCCUCCUACGGGAGGCAGCAGUGGGGAAGAGUGCACAGUGGGCGCAAGCCGGAUGCAGCCAUGCCGCGUGUGUGAAGAGGGCCUUCGGGUUGUAAAGCACUUUCAGCGGGGAGGCGGUACCCGCAGAAGAAGCACCGGCUAACUCCGUGCCAGCAGCCGCGGUAAUUC
rnacentral:rRNA from 1 species